UGGGGAAUAUUGCACAAUGGGCGCAAGCCUGAUGCAGCCAUGCCGCGUGUAUGAAGAAGGCCUUCGGGUUGUAAAGUACUUUCAGCGGGGAGGAAGGGAGUAAAGUUAAUACCUUUGCUCAUUGACGUUACCCGCAGAAGAAGCACCGGCUAACUCCGUGCCAGCAGCCGCGGUAAUACUGAGGGUGCAAGCGUUAAUCGGAAUUACUGGGCGUAAAGCGCACGCAGGCGGUUUGUCAAGUCGGAUGUGAAAUCCCCGGGCUCAACCUGGGAACUGCAUUCGAAACUGGCAGGCUAGAGUCUUGUAGAGGGGGGUAGAAUUCCAGGUGUAGCGGUGAAAUGCGUAGAGAUCUGGAGGAAUACCGGUGGCGAAGGCGGCCCCCUGGACAAAGACUGACGCUCAGGUGCGAAAGCGUGGGGAGCAAACAGG
rnacentral:rRNA from 1 species